AUUGAACGCUGGCGGCAGGCCUAAUACAUGCAAGUCGAACGGUAACAUAAAAGAAGCUUGCUUCUUUUGAUGACGAGUGGCGGACGGGUGAGUAAUAUUUGGGAAACUACCUGAUAGAGGGGGACAACAGUUGGAAACGACUGCUAAUACCGCAUAAAGCCUGAGGGUGAAAGCAGCAAUGCGCUAUCAGAUGUGCCCAAACGGGAUUAGCUAGUAGGUGAGGUAAAGGCUCACCUAGGCGACGAUCUCUAGCUGGUCUGAGAGGAUGAUCAGCCACAUUGGGACUGAGACACGGCCCAGACUCCUACGGGAGGCAGCAGUAGGGAAUAUUGCACAAUGGAGGAAACUCUGAUGCAGCCAUGCCGCGUGUGUGAAGAAGGCCUUCGGUUGUAAAGCACUUUCGGAGGGGAGGAAAAGGAUGACGUUACCCUCAGAAGAAGACACCGGCUAACUCCGUG
rnacentral:rRNA from 1 species